rnacentral:lncRNA from 1 species
UCUUCCAGACGAGUAACAAUGUUGAUCUUUCAAACCCUCCAGUUCAGGAUUUGCUGCCCUGGUGCACACGGUUUUACCCAACCAUCCAGCUUGCAGUCACUGUUGGUCUCUCCACCCACUGCACAGGUGUAAUCUGCAUCUUCAGCAAUUGCACUCACCGUCGCUUGACCAUGUACCGGCAUGGGAUUAGCAUUAACAUUCGGUGAUGGCGCAAAAUUGAUAGCUUUGGAGUCUACCAGGUCCUG